rnacentral:rRNA from 1 species
GAUUAACGCUGGCGGCGUGCAUAACACAUGCAAGUCGAACGAUGAAACUUUAAUGAACCCUUCGGGGAGAAUUAAAGCGGAUUAGUGGCGAACGGGUGAGUAACGCGUGAGUAACCUGCCUUACACAAGGGGAUAGCCUUUGGAAACGAAGAAUAAUACCCUAUAAAACCAUAAAAGCACAUGCAAUUAUGGUCAAAGUGAUAGCGGUGUAAGAUGGACUUGCGUCUGAUUAGCUAGUUGGUGAGAUAAAAGCCCACCAAGGCAACGAUCAGUAGCCGGCUUGAGAGAGUGUACGGCCACCUUGGGACUGAGACACGGCCCAGACUCCUACGGGAGGCAGCAGUGGGGAAUUUUGCACAAUGGGGGAAACCCUGAUGCAGCGACGCCGCGUGAUUUAGAAGGCCUUCGGGUUGUAAAAAUCUUUUGUAUAGGAAGAAAAUGACAGUACUAUACGAAUAAGGUCCGGCUAAUUACGU